CUUUUUUCUGAUGAAAUUUUACCAUUCUGAAUUUGUAUCCCAAGACAAAAAGCAGGGCAACUAUAUGGAUAAAAAUGUACUGUAGCUGUUUUAUUUAAUAUUUCAAUGCUCAAUUUCUUAAUGUAUGUACUUUUUUCAGCACUGAGGAGGAACAUUACAAUAUAGAGAAUGCUACUGAGGCCAGACCAAGGGAAGCAAAGAAGGGAACAGUAGCAAUCAACACAAAGCUAGGACAUCUGGUGGAGGCAGAACAACAUGUAAGCAAAUACCUUCCUGCUUCAUGACUGAAAACGUGUUUGUGUUGGAAAGUGAGGAUUCUGCAGUUUUACAGAAAUCUAAGCCACUGAAUGCUUCAAGCAGUUUGCAAACCUAAUUAAUGGACAGUCUCAGCUAUUAAAAGAUUACUAGGCCUUCCAAAUCCAGGUGUCUGACAGUGUUUCAAUUGCUGGACUUCAGGGAUAAUAAACCGAAGGCUACACUUCA
rnacentral:lncRNA from 1 species